CCAGACUCCUACGGGAGGCAGCAGUGAGGAAUAUUGGUCAAUGGACGAGAGUCUGAACCAGCCUAGUAGCGUGAAGGAUGACUGCCCUAUGGGUUGUAAACUUCUUUUAUAUGGGAAUAAAACAGGGUAUGCAUACCCUCUUGUAUGUACCAUAUGAAUAAGGAUCGGCUAACUCCGUGCCAGCAGCCGCGGUAAUACGGAGGAUCCGAGCGUUAUCCGGAUUUAUUGGGUUUAAAGGGAGCGUAGGCCGGUCUUUAAGCGUGCCGUGAAAUUUUGUGGCUCAACCAUGAGAGUGCGGCGCGAACUGGAGACCUUGAGUGCGCGGAAGGCAGGCGGAAUUCGUGGUGUAGCGGUGAAAUGCUUAGAUAUCACGCAGAACUCCGAUUGCGAAGGCAGCAUACCGGCGCCCAACUGACGCUCAUGCACGAAAGUGUGGGUAUCGAACAGGAUUAGAUACCCUCGUAAU
rnacentral:rRNA from 1 species